GAUGAACGCUAGCGGCAGGCUUAACACAUGCAAGUCGAGGGGUAGGUUACUUCGGUAAUUGAGACCGGCGCACGGGUGCGUAACGCGUAUGCAAUCUACCUUAUACAGGGGAAUAGCCCAGAGAAAUCUGGAUUAAUGCCCCAUAGUGUUAUCGAAUCGCAUGGUUUGAUAACUAAAGUUCCAACGGUAUAAGAUGAGCAUGCGUCCAUUAGUUAGUUGGUAAGGUAACGGCUUACCAAGACAAUAGAUGGUAGGGGU
rnacentral:rRNA from 1 species